rnacentral:rRNA from 1 species
AGCUCCAAUAGCGUAUAUUAAAGUUGUUGUGGUUAAAAAGCUCGUAGUUGGAUUUCGGCGGGUAUAGGUUGGUUUGAAUUGCUUCAAUACUGACUUUUUUACCCGUGUCUGUUAGAACUGACAGGUUUACUUUGAAAAAAUUAGAGUGCUCAAAGCAAGCUUGAUUGCUUGAAUAUUCGUGCAUGGAAUAAUAGAAUAGGAAGUCGUUUCUAUUUUGUUGGUUUUCGGAAAUCGACUUAAUGAUUAAUAGGGACAGUCGGGGGCAUUUGUAUUCAAACGACAAAAAGCAUUUGCCAAGAAUGUUUUCAUUA